UUAUAUUAUAUUAUAUAUUUCUUAACAUUUAUCGUUUAGUCAUUCUAAUAUGGCAGGGAUAUAUGCAACCUUUUCUCUCAUGCUUCCAUCGGAUGAACAGGUGAUGAGGUACGAUCUCGAUAUGCACCAAAAGCCUAGCAUAAACCGGGGAUAGGAGCUGAUGAAGAUCGGAAUAAGAUUGUUAUCAUGAACGAUACAAAUUUAUGAGUUCCCCUCAAAACUUCAAGAUUGUUAUGUACGAAUUUUUGAGUUCCCCUCAAAACUUAAAGAUUGUUAUGUACUUUUUAUAAUUCCUAAAACCUAAACCCUAUACAAAAUAAAAAUAUUAUUAUAAAUAUUAUGGAAUUAUUUAGACCCAUUGGGAUAAAAUAAAAAUAUUAUUA
rnacentral:lncRNA from 1 species